UUUUCAAAACUAUCUGGAGGAGCUUGCUGUUUAAACCGAUAAUCCACGAAAAACCUUACCAACCCUAGAAAAACAGCCUGUAUACCAUCAUCGUCAGUCUACCUUGCAAGAGGGAAGUACACUUUAAGAGUAUUUAUUUUUAAAGAUAAACUAUUUUUUACCCCUAACGUUAGAUCUAGGUGCAGCUUAUGGGUUGGGAAUAAGUGAGCUACAAUAACAACAACAAACCAAAAAAGCUAUGGAAUCAACAUUGAAAAAACAGAAAAAAUAGGAUUCAACAGUAAUACUUAAAAGAAAGUAAGUAUGAAGUCACURGCUCUGAAAUGCGC
rnacentral:rRNA from 1 species